GGCCUAACACAUGCAAGUCGAACGGUAACAGGAAACAGCUUGCUGUUUCGCUGACGAGUGGCGGACGGGUGAGUAAUGUCUGGGAAACUGCCUGAUGGAGGGGGAUAACUACUGGAAACGGUAGCUAAUACCGCAUAACGUCGCAAGACCAAAGAGGGGGACCUUCGGGCCUCUUGCCAUCGGAUGUGCCCAGAUGGGAUUAGCUAGUAGGUGGGGUAACGGCUCACCUAGGCGACGAUCCCUAGCUGGUCUGAGAGGAUGACCAGCCACACUGGAACUGAGACACGGUCCAGACUCCUACGGGAGGCAGCAGUGGGGAAUAUUGCACAAUGGGCGCAAGCCUGAUGCAGCCAUGCCGCGUGUAUGAAGAAGGCCUUCGGGUUGUAAAGUACUUUCAGCGGGGAGGAAGGGAGUAAAGUUAAUACCUUUGCUCAUUGACGUUACCCGCAGAAGAAGCACCGGCUAACUCCGUGCCAGCAGCCGCGGUAAUACGGAGGGUGCAAGCGUUAAUCGGAAUUACUGGGCGUAAAGCGCACGCAGGCGGUUUGUUAAGUCAGAUGUGAAAUCCCCGGGCUCAACCUGGGAACUGCAUCUGAUACUGGCAAGCUUGAGUCUCGUAGAGGGGGGUAGAAUUCCAGGUGUAGCGGUGAAAUGCGUAGAGAUCUGGAGGAAUACCGGUGGCGAAGGCGGCCCCCUGGACGAAGACUGACGCUCAGGUGCGAAAGCGUGGGGGAGCAAACAGGAUUAGAUACCCCUGGUAGUCCACGCCGUAAACGAUGUCGACUUGGAGGAUGUGCCCUUGAGGCGUGGCUUCCGGAGCUAACGCGUUAAGUCGACCGCCUGGGGAGUACGGCCGCAAGGUUAAAACUCAAAUGAAUUGACGGGGGCCCGCACAGGCGGUGGAGCAUGUGGUUUAAUUCGAUGCAACGCGAAGAACCUUACCUGGUCUUGACAUCCACGGAAGUUUUCAGAGAUGAGAAUGUGCCUUCGGGAACCGUGAGACAGGUGCUGCAUGGCUGUCGUCAGCUCGUGUUGUGAAAUGUUGGGUUAAGUCCCGCAACGAGCGCAACCCUUAUCCUUUGUUGCCAGCGGUCCGGCCGGGAACUCAAAGGAGACUGCCAGUGAUAAACUGGAGGAAGGUGGGGAUGACGUCAAGUCAUCAUGGCCCUUACGACCAGGGCUACACACGUGCUACAAUGGCGCAUACAAAGAGAAGCGACCUCGCGAGAGCAAGCGGACCUCAUAAAGUGCGUCGUAGUCCGGAUUGGAGUCUGCAACUCGACUCCAUGAAGUCGGAAUCGCUAGUAAUCGUGGAUCAGAAUGCCACGGUGAAUACGUUCCCGGGCCUUGUACACACCGCCCGUCACACCAUGGGAGUGGGUUGCAAAAGAAGUAGGUAGCUUAACCUUAGGGGGGGCGCUUACCACUUUGUGAUUCAUGACUGGGGC
rnacentral:rRNA from 1 species